rnacentral:rRNA from 1 species
AGAGCGAACGCUGGCGGCAGGCUUAACACAUGCAAGUCGAGCGGGCGUAGCAAUACGUCAGCGGCAGACGGGUGAGUAACGCGUGGGAACGUACCUUUUGGUUCGGAACAACACAGGGAAACUUGUGCUAAUACCGGAUAAGCCCUUACGGGGAAAGAUUUAUCGCCAAAAGAUCGGCCCGCGUCUGAUUAGCUAGUUGGUGAGGUAACGGCUCACCAAGGCGACGAUCAGUAGCUGGUCUGAGAGGAUGAUCAGCCACAUUGGGACUGAGACACGGCCCAAACUCCUACGGGAGGCAGCAGUGGGGAAUAUUGGACAAUGGGCGCAAGCCUGAUCCAGCCAUGCCGCGUGAGUGAUGAAGGCCCUAGGGUUGUAAAGCUCUUUUGUGCGGGAAGAUAAAUGACGGUACCGCAAGAAUAAGCCCCGGCUAACUUCGUGCCAGCAGCCGC